rnacentral:rRNA from 1 species
UGCAGUCGAACGCUGAAGCACCAGCUUGCUGGUGUGGAUGAGUGGCGAACGGGUGAGUAAUACGUGAGUAACCUGCCCUUGACUCUGGGAUAAGCCCGGGAAACUGGGUCUAAUACUGGAUGCUACAUGUCACCGCAUGGUGGUGUGUGGAAAGGGUUUACUGGUCUUGGAUGGGCUCACGGCCUAUCAGCUUGUUGGUGAGGUAAUGGCUCACCAAGGCGACGACGGGUAGCCGGCCUGAGAGGGUGACCGGCCACACUGGGACUGAGACACGGCCCAGACUCCUACGGGAGGCAGCAGUGGGGAAUAUUGCACAAUGGGCGAAAGCCUGAUGCAGCGACGCCGCGUGAGGGAUGACGGCCUUCGGGUUGUAAACCUCUUUCAGCAGGGAAGAAGCCACAAGUGACGGUACCUGCAGAAGAAGCGUCGGCUAACUACGUGCCAGCAGCCGCGGUAAUACGUAGGGCGCAAGCGUUGUCCGGAAUUAUUGGGCGUAAAGAGCUCGUAGGCGGUUUGUCGCGUCUGCUGUGAAAGCCCGGGGCUUAACCCCGGGUGUGCAGUGGGUACGGGCAGACUAGAGUGCAGUAGGGGAGACUGGAAUUCCUGGUGUAGCGGUGGAAUGCGCAGAUAUCAGGAGGAACACCGAUGGCGAAGGCAAGACUCUGGGGCUGUUACUGACGCUGAGGAGCGAAACCAUGGUGAGCGAACAGGAUUAGAUACCCUGGUAGUCCAUGACGUAAACGUUGGGCACUA